UACGUAGGGUGCGAGCGUUAAUCGGAAUUACUGGGCGUAAAGCGUGCGCAGGCGGUUCGCCAAGUCAGGUGUGAAAUCCCCGGGCUUAACCUGGGAAUUGCGCUUGAAACUAGCGGGCCUGAGUGUGGCAGAGGGGGGUGGAAUUCCACGUGUAGCAGUGAAAUGCGUAGAUAUCUGGAGGAACACCGGUGGCGAAGGCGGCAUCCUGGACCGAGAUUGACGCUGAGGCGCGAAAGCCAGGGGAGCAAACGGG
rnacentral:rRNA from 1 species